CUGCCCACUCUAUCUUUCCUCUCUCCCUCACGUUUCCUCUUAUACACACCCACACACUACACUCUCCCACACGUUUCUCUCUCACAUGUUACUUUGACAGGUACUUUGACAGGAUAAAGAAAGAAACAAAAACAAGAAAUAAAAGGACACUCCUCUUCUUCUUGAAAAAGGAGGCUUCCCACACACCUCUCACCCUCUCUACACUCAGUAAGGAAAAACAAAAAAGAACUUUUAAAAAAGAAUACGAACUCUCUCCUCUCACAAACAAGCUUUGACCUCAAAUCCCAUCUUCCUCACUCAAAUCACUACCUCCCACUUCCUACAGCCAACACACUGUAAAAUCCCACCGGAACUUCAUCCCAACAACCUCCGCCAUCGCCGCGUCAAACACCAUAAACCCACUAACCUCCGUCACCACGCCGCAAACAACCGAAAUCUUCCAUCAACAAUAGCCUCAUCUCUGAUCUUUUUCUCACCGGACACUUUCGACCGCCACCGCGAAGCUUUGCUCGCUCCUUCAACAACACCGUCCUCCAAAGCAUCUCACCUCCAAGCUCUGUCGAACACCCCUUUCAACCCUCGGAAAACCCUCUUCUGGAACCAAAAACAGCAAUAACAGCAUUACAACUCGACUUCGAUUAAAGUAACGACGUCAAUUGUAACAGGCAUCUCUUGUUUUGAGAGAUCUGUAAGUUGGACAUAUAGAUUUUGGCAAAGGGAAUGGAUGCUUAUGAAGGGAAAUAUUGCAAUAUAUGCAUCAAGAAGCUUCGCUUAUAGUUGUUACAGAAUUUCCCCUCGCUUCUCAUCGUUGCAGAAUUUCCGCACGACUAUUCCAAGAGUUACGCCAUGCCUAUGUGUCAAGCAACACAAGCGUCGUAGUAACCGCAACGCCGAUAUACUCCGAUGCUUCUCCUUGAUCCUUGCACACAACUCAACAUUACAUAGCGGCGGCAACGUCAUUUUUUCCUUGAGGAAGAGCAAUAGCUGACGUGAGUCUGAAGAUGGCAUUGAUGUGUUUCUUCAUUUAUUUAUCAUUUUAUGUUAUUUAGUUUCUGGUUGCUCUGAUCUGUAACACUAGGAACAGGUCGUUAUCGUUGUUUGAGUAGAUUGUUUUGGAUUUGUUUAAAUUCAAUCAAGUACUAUAUUUUGAAAAGAAAAUUUAAAGUAUAUGUUUCUGUUGA